rnacentral:other from 1 species
UUUAUCCUGCCGUGUCCGCGGACAGCUGUCUUGUAACCCUACUACACUUUGAUAACGGGAAUCCUGCUCCGUCUUCGGAGUGCAGACCUCCCCGUGUACCACGGUAUGCGGGAAGAAGGGAGCCGGAAAAAGACGGGCGAUGCCCACCUGCUUUGUUAAGUAGCAGGUUAUUUCGACAGCAUUACGGCACGGCGGGACCAAC